rnacentral:tRNA from 1 species
GGGGUUGUGGCUCAGUGGUAGAGCGCUCCCCUGGCAUGUGGGAAGCCUGGAUUUGAUCCUCAGCACCA